AUUCGCAGUCUCCCGCCUCUGCG
rnacentral:misc_RNA from 1 species